GGUCUUUAUGGCAGGAGGUGUGGAGAGAAGAGCACUAGGGAAGACUCCUGGAGGAUCCCCUCCGAAGGGGAGACCCCAUUGCAAGGAAUGCUUCGUGAGGCGGAGGAUUUCAAGAGGGGAAGUUCUACCUGUGGUUGGUGAGGAGAAUUCAGCGCCGACAAGGACUCUUGGGAGGGAAACAGCUUCUUCCCCGAGACUACUGAACUCCCUGCCACCGCCCAGGUCUCAUCAUGUGAUACGAUCUAGUGAUUUUCGGGAAAAUCAAAAUGGAAUUGAUUUCUUCUCCCGCUUCUGCUGUGCCAUUUGAACUUUCAGAGUUCCAUUAUACCUUGCUGCAGCAAGCAGCCGGUGAACUUGCCUUAACCGAUGACUGACAGGUUGAGACGAGAUGGCAAAGGUCUAUCAUAAAGUGAGGAGGCAAAAAUAAAUUGUGAAUGAAAAGGAUUUGUAAGAUGAUUUAUUCAUGGUCUUUAACUGAGAAGUGAAUACUUUUUAAUCCUAACUUAAUUGAAAAAAUUAACCAUUGUGGGGCAAUGUUGCUUUAAUCUAACACUUCACCGGAUUUCAUUGCUGUUGAUGACAUAUUAAAACUGUUAUCUGCUAAAAUUACAGACUCAGUGACACAUGGAUGGACGGGUGCAUUAGGGUAAUAAGCUCUUCCAGGCCUGACUA